ACUCCUACGGGAGGCAGCAGUGAGGAAUAUUGGUCAAUGGAGGGAACUCUGAACCAGCCAUCCCGCGUGUAGGAAGACGGCCUUAUGGGUUGUAAACUACUUUUAUACAGGAAGAAACGUACCCUCGUGAGGGUGGCCUGACGGUACUGUAGGAAUAAGCACCGGCUAACUCCGUGCCAGCAGCCGCGGUAAUACGGAGGGUGCGAGCGUUAUCCGGAUUUAUUGGGUUUAAAGGGUCCGUAGGCGGAUUAAUAAGUCAGUGGUGAAAUCCCAUCGCUUAACGAUGG
rnacentral:rRNA from 1 species